rnacentral:rRNA from 1 species
GAUGAACGCUGGCGGCGUGCUUAACACAUGCAAGUCGAACGGAAAGGCCACAGCUUGCUGUGGUACUCGAGUGGCGAACGGGUGCGUAACACGUGGGUGAUCUGCCCUGUACUUCCGGAUAAGCUUGGGAAACUGGGUCUACUAUCGGACAGGAUUCACAUGUCGGUGUGUGGCUGGAAAGCUUUUGCGGUAUGGGGUGAGCUUGCGGCCUAUGAGCUUGUUGGUGGGGUAACGGCCGACCAAGGCGUCGACGGAUAGCCGGCCUGAGAAGGGGUACGGCCACAUGAGGACUAAGGGACGGAGCAGACUCGAACGGGGGGCAGCGGUGGGGAAUAUUGCACAAUGGGCGCGAGCGUGAUACGAAGGCGUCGGGUGGGGGAUGACGGCCUUCGGGUUGUAAACACCUUUCGUCAAGGACGAAGCGAAAGUGACGGUACCUGGAGAAGAAGCACCGGCUAACUACGUG